CGUUUUGGAUGUUGCCAGGUGCGCCACCAACUUUCCAUCCAUAACCCGAACCCCCGAUACCUGUAAACCACCGGGCACCGCCCUAGCAGCGCUCACCAACUGCCCUAUCCGGAAUGCCCCGAAAAAGGCCAACAGGAACGCUGCCUUGAACAAAGACGCCUCAAACUCGUCGAAACAAACCUCUGGUAACAUUCCGACCAAAGCCCCCAGCAGCCGCACCGACACCGGGCGCCUAGUGUCCGGCCGCCUGCGGCCCCUCCGAUACCCUUUCAACGCCUUCCUGAUAACGAAGGUCUUGGUAAGAUCCUCCUUCCCGUGCAA